rnacentral:rRNA from 1 species
UACGUAGGGUGCAAGCGUUAAUCGGAAUUACUGGGCGUAAAGCGUACGCAGGCGGCUAUGUAAGUCAGGUGUGAAAUCCCCGGGCUUAACCUGGGAACUGCAUUUGUGACUGCAUAGCUAGAGUCUGUCAGAGGGGGGUGGAAUUCCACGUGUAGCAGUGAAAUGCGUAGAGAUGUGGAGGAACACCGAUGGCGAAGGCAGCCCCCUGGGAUAAGACUGACGCUCAUGUACGAAAGCGUGGGGAGCAAACAGG